CCUACGGGUGGCAGCAGUGGGGAAUAUUGCACAAUGGGGGAAACCCUGAUGCAGCGACGCCGCGUGAGUGAAGAAGUAAUUCGUUAUGUAAAGCUCUAUCAGCAGGGAAGAAAAUGACGGUACCUGAGUAAGAAGCCCCGGCUAACUACGUGCCCGCAGCCGCGGUAAUACGUAGGGGGCAAGCGUUAUCCGGAUUUACUGGGUGUAAAGGGAGCGUAGACGGCAGUGCAAGUCUGGAGUGAAAGGCCGGGGCUCAACCCCCGGACUGCUCUGGAAACUGUGCAGCUGGAGUGCAGGAGAGGUAAGUGGAAUUCCUAGGGUAGCGGUGAAAGGCGUAGAGAUUAGGAGGAACACCAGUGGCGAAGGCGGCUUACUGGACUGUAACUGACGUUGAGGCUCGAAAGCGUGGGGAGCAAACAGGAUUAGAUACCCCUGUAGUC
rnacentral:rRNA from 1 species